rnacentral:rRNA from 1 species
GAGUUUGAUCCUGGCUCAGAUUGAACGCUGGCGGUAUGCUUUACACAUGCAAGUCGAACGGCAGCACGGGGCAACCUGGUGGCGAGUGGCGAACGGGUGAGUAACAUAUCGGAACAUGUCCGGAAGUGGGGGAUAACGUAGCGAAAGUUACGCUAAUACCGCAUAUGCCCUGAGGGGGAAAGGGGGGGAUCGCAAGACCUCUCGCUUUCGGAGUGGCCGAUAUCGGAUUAGCUAGUAGGUGAGGUAAAGGCUCACCUAGGCGACGAUCCGUAGCUGGUCUGAGAGGACGACCAGCCACACUGGAACUGAGACACGGUCCAGACUCCUACGGGAGGCAGCAGUGGGGAAUUUUGGACAAUGGGGGCAACCCUGAUCCAGCCAUACCGCGUGAGUGAAGAAGGCCUUCGGGUUGUAAAGCUCUUUCGGCAGGAAAGAAAUCGUGCAGGCUAAUAUCCUGUAUGGAUGACGGUACCUGAAGAAGAAGCACCGGCUAACUACGUGCCAGCAGCCGCGGUAAUACGUAGGGUGCGAGCGUUAAUCGGAAUUACUGGGCGUAAAGCGUGCGCAGGCGGUUCCGUAAGACAGAUGUGAAAUCCCCGGGCUUAACCUGGGAACUGCAUUUGUGACUGCGAGACUAGAGUGUAGCAGAGGGGGGUAGAAUUCCACGUGUAGCAGUGAAAUGCGUAGAUAUGUGGAGGAAUACCGAUGGCGAAAGGCAGCCCCCUGGGCUAACACUGACGCUCAUGCACGAAAGCGUGGGGAGCAAACAGGAUUAGAUACCCUGGUAGUCCACGCCCUAAACGAUGUCAACUAGGUGUUGGGGAAGGAGACUUCUUUAGUACCGCAGCUAACGCGCUAAGUUGACCGCCUGGGGAGUACGGUCGCAAGAUUAAAACUCAAAGGAAUUGACGGGGGCCUGCACAAGCGGUGGAGCAUGUGGUUUAAUUCGAAGCAACGCGCAGAACCUUACCAGCGUUUGACAUCCUGAUCGCGGAUAGUGGAGACACUUUCCUUCAGUUCGGCUGGAUCAGUGACAGGUGCUGCAUGGCUGUCGUCAGCUCGUGUCGUGAGAUGUUGGGUUAAGUCCCGCAACGAGCGCAACCCUUGCCAAUAAUUGCCAUCAUUCAGUUGGGCACUUUAUUGGGACUGCCGGUGAUAAACCGGAGGAAGGUGGGGAUGACGUCAAGUCCUCAUGGCCCUUAUGGGUAGGGCUUCACACGUAAUACAAUGGUCGGUACAGAGGGUUGCCAAGCAGCGAUGCGGAGCCAAUCCCAGAAAGCCGAUCGUAGUCCGGAUUGUUCUCUGCAACUCGAGAGCAUGAAGUCGGAAUCGCUAGUAAUCGCGGAUCAGCAUGUCGCGGUGAAUACGUUCCCGGGUCUUGUACACACCGCCCGUCACACCAUGGGAGUGGAAUCUGGCAGAAGUAGGUAGCCUAACCGCAAGGAGGGCGCUUACCACGCUGGGUUUCAUGACUGGGGUGAAGUAGUAACAAGGUAACC